CAGGUUCAGCUGCAGCAGUCUGGGGCUGAGCUGGUGAAGCCUGGGGCCUCAGUGAAGAUUUCCUGCAAAGCUUCUGGCUACGCAUUCAGUAGCUACUGGAUGAACUGGGUGAAGCAGAGGCCUGGAAAGGGUCUUGAGUGGAUUGGACAGAUUUAUCCUGGAGAUGGUGAUACUAACUACAACGGAAAGUUCAAGGGCAAGGCCACACUGACUGCAGACAAAUCCUCCAGCACAGCCUACAUGCAGCUCAGCAGCCUGACCUCUGAGGACUCUGCGGUCUAUUUCUGUGCAAGA